rnacentral:lncRNA from 1 species
AUUCCUAGAGCAGGGAGCAUUUGCAGAGGCUUGGGAGGGAGUGGACGUGUCCCUGAUGCUAAGGGCAGAGGAGGAGCGGGGCCCUCGGGCAGCUGGAAGGGCAUCCUGAAAAGACGCCUGCCUGCCGCCGUUCUCCUGGCAGCAGGGCGCGCUGGGAAGCACCAGGCAGGAAGUGAAGAAUUUCCGGUUGUCAGCGGAGGGAUGGGGCGUCACCAAGUCUGUGGCAAGCACACCAAGAACCAGCUAAGUCCAAGGCUCACCUGCAUGGCAAAUGGUGAAGAGCCCAGCUCCCACUGAAGGCAUAUGACCCAGAUCCUGAGAACCAGAUGCACCGGCCUGAGCUUUCGUCAGAAGCAAGGACACACAGAACCUUUCUUAGAGGCAUCAUUAGAGGACCGGACAUGGUGGCCAGAGGCUGCAGGGACAGAAGUCCCAGGGCCAUGUCCAGGAACUGGGCUCAGGGGACCUCCUGGUGCCACCUGCAUAUCUGAGCCCAUGGAGUUCCUCUGGUCUAUUCAGUUCUCUCAUUUUAACUUAAUUUUGUUUUUGUAGGCUUUCUUAAAAAAUUGCCCAGUUCAUUUACCUGAUCACGUUUAUUGUUCAGAGUUGAGUGUGGUUCUCUCGUAAUUAUUUAGUCUCCACUGGGUCUGUGAUUAUAUUUCCUUUCUUAUUGCUAAUGCUGUUUGUGUUUGAUUUUCUUCUUUUUUUUCUUGGCCUGACUUAAAGAGGUUUGUCUGUUUUAUCUUUAUUUUAAAAAUAACCAACUGUUUAUUUUUACUUCUCCACUGUGAUUUCCCCCUUUAUUUCUUUAAUGUUUGAGUUUAUAUUUUUUCCUAUUUAUUUUGGCUUAAAUUUUAUUAUCAUUUUGCUAUAUCCUUGUGUCAAGCGCUUAAUUCAAUUAUUUUGUUAUUUUGACUUCUAAAAAAUCAGUUAAUUCUAUAAGUUUUCCUCUAUGUACUACAUUGAGCAAACUCCACAGAUUUCUGUAGGGGGCAUACUAAUUGUAAUUCAAUUUCGUUUUCCAUGUGUAGGUCCAGAUUUAUUUGAAUGUCCAAAUACUUAGAAUUGUAGGCUCUUGUUUUGUUAUUAAAGUCUGGUUUUAUUACAUUGUGUUUAGAGAAAAUAAUAUGGAGGAUUUUAAUUUUAGAUAAAGCAUUAAUAUCUUUUUUAUCCUCAAACAUGAUCAAUUUUUGACAGUGUUCCAAAAAUAUACUAUGAAAUAUAUAUUAUCUGUUGGAAUAGAGUAAUAUAUGUACACACUCUGCCAUGUGCAUAUGUUUAUAUAUCAUAUUUAGUCAAUGGUAGUUGUGUUAGCCAAGUCCUGGAGUCAUCUCGAUUCAAGUUUGUUGAGGCAGAAUUGUCAAUUUCGUCCUCAGCUCAGCUUCAACUACUUAACAGAACCUGAUUCAUAUAGGAAUUAAGUAAAUGUUUGUUGAAUGAAAUUCAGUGUCCCCAACCUUUUUGGCACCAGGGACUGGUUUUGUUGAAGACAGUUUUUCCAUGGAUGAUGGUAGGGGAUGGUUUCAGGAUGAUUCAAGUGCAUUACCUUUAUUGUGCACUCUAUUUCUAUUAUUAUUACACUGUAAUUAAUGAAAUGAUGGUAAAACUCACAAUAAUGUAGAAA